UACGGAGGGGGUUAGCGUUGUUCGGAAUUACUGGGCGUAAAGCGCGCGUAGGCGGGCAUUCAAGUCGGGGGUGAAAUCCCGGGGCUCAACCCCGGAACUGCCUUCGAUACUGGAUGUCUGGAGUUCGAGAGAGGUGAGUGGAAUUCCGAGUGUAGAGGUGAAAUUCGUAGAUAUUCGGAGGAACACCAGUGGCGAAGGCGGCUCACUGGCUCGAUACUGACGCUGAGGCGCGAAAGCGUGGGGAGCAAACAGG
rnacentral:rRNA from 1 species